CCGUACACAAAAAUGCACAUAUUGUGAGCUUGAUGAGUAGGGCGGGACACGUGGUAUCCUGUCUGAAUAUGGGGGGACCAUCCUCCAAGGCUAAAUACUCCUGACUGACCGAUAGUGAACCAGUACCGUGAGGGAAAGGCGAAAAGAACCCCGGCGAGGGGAGUGAAAAAGAACCUGAAACCGUGUACGUACAAGCAGUGGGAGCACGCUUAGGCGUGUGACUGCGUACCUUUUGUAUAAUGGGUCAGCGACUUAUAUUCUGUAGCAAGGUUAACCGAAUAGGGGAGCCGAAGGGAAACCGAGUCUUAACUGGGCGUUAAGUUGCAGGGUAUAGACCCGAAACCCGGUGAUCUAGCCAUGGGCAGGUUGAAGGUUGGGUAACACUAACUGGAGGACCGAACCGACUAAUGUUGAAAAAUUAGCGGAUGACUUGUGGCUGGGGGUGAAAGGCCAAUCAAACCGGGAGAUAGCUGGUUCUCCCCGAAAGCUAUUUAGGUAGCGCCUCGUGAAUUCAUCUCCGGGGGUAGAGCACUGUUUCGGCAAGGGGGUCAUCCCGACUUACCAACCCGAUGCAAACUGCGAAUACCGGAGAAUGUUAUCACGGGAGACACACGGCGGGUGCUAACGUCCGUCGUGAAGAGGGAAACAACCCAGACCGCCAGCUAAGGUCCCAAAGUCAUGGUUAAGUGGGAAACGAUGUGGGAAGGCCCAGACAGCCAGGAUGUUGGCUUAGAAGCAGCCAUCAUUUAAAGAAAGCGUAAUAGCUCACUGGUCGAGUCGGCCUGCGCGGAAGAUGUAACGGGGCUAAACCAUGCACCGAAGCUGCGGCAGCGACGCUUAUGCGUUGUUGGGUAGGGGAGCGUUCUGUAAGCCUGCGAAGGUGUGCUGUGAGGCAUGCUGGAGGUAUCAGAAGUGCGAAUGCUGACAUAAGUAACGAUAAAGCGGGUGAAAAGCCCGCUCGCCGGAAGACCAAGGGUUCCUGUCCAACGUUAAUCGGGGCAGGGUGAGUCGACCCCUAAGGCGAGGCCGAAAGGCGUAGUCGAUGGGAAACAGGUUAAUAUUCCUGUACUUGGUGUUACUGCGAAGGGGGGACGGAGAAGGCUAUGUUGGCCGGGCGACGGUUGUCCCGGUUUAAGCGUGUAGGCUGGUUUUCCAGGCAAAUCCGGAAAAUCAAGGCUGAGGCGUGAUGACGAGGCACUACGGUGCUGAAGCAACAAAUGCCCUGCUUCCAGGAAAAGCCUCUAAGCAUCAGGUAACAUCAAAUCGUACCCCAAACCGACACAGGUGGUCAGGUAGAGAAUACCAAGGCGCUUGAGAGAACUCGGGUGAAGGAACUAGGCAAAAUGGUGCCGUAACUUCGGGAGAAGGCACGCUGAUAUGUAGGUGAAGUCCCUUGCGGAUGGAGCUGAAAUCAGUCGAAGAUACCAGCUGGCUGCAACUGUUUAUUAAAAACACAGCACUGUGCAAACACGAAAGUGGACGUAUACGGUGUGACGCCUGCCCGGUGCCGGAAGGUUAAUUGAUGGGGUCAGCGCAAGCGAAGCUCUUGAUCGAAGCCCCGGUAAACGGCGGCCGUAACUAUAACGGUCCUAAGGUAGCGAAAUUCCUUGUCGGGUAAGUUCCGACCUGCACGAAUGGCGUAAUGAUGGCCAGGCUGUCUCCACCCGAGACUCAGUGAAAUUGAACUCGCUGUGAAGAUGCAGUGUACCCGCGGCAAGACGGAAAGACCCCGUGAACCUUUACUAUAGCUUGACACUGAACAUUGAGCCUUGAUGUGUAGGAUAGGUGGGAGGCUUUGAAGUG
rnacentral:rRNA from 1 species